UACGUAGGGGGCAAGCGUUGUCCGGAAUCAUUGGGCGUAAAGAGCGUGUAGGCGGCUUGGCAAGUCUGACGUGAAAGCCCACGGCUCAACCGUGGAGGGUCAUUGGAAACUGGGAGACUUGAGUGCAGAAGAGGAGAGUGGAAUUCCACGUGUAGCGGUGAAAUGCGUAGAGAUGUGGAGGAACACCAGUGGCGAAGGCGACUCUCUGGUCUGUAACUGACGCUGAGGAGCGAAAGCGUGGGGAGCAAACAGG
rnacentral:rRNA from 1 species